AGCUGCAACCACAGAGCAUACUAAGACAAAUUAUCCUACCGAACCUUGACUCUUGAUACCAGUUGUUGGGAAAAAUAGCAUAAGUUAAAAGAAUUAAAACACAAUCACAACACAAGAAUAUAACGUGGAAACUCCAAAACCGGAGAAAAAACCACGGCUGCUGCCUAAACCGGCAACCAGAGAAUUAAUACUAUGUGAAAAUUGUUACAACACAUAGACUUCUCUCACUCACACCCCAG
rnacentral:lncRNA from 1 species